AUUGAACGCUGGCGGCAGGCCUAACACAUGCAAGUCGAGCGAGCGGCGGACGGGUGAGUAAGGUAUGGGGAUCUGCCCGAUAUAGGGGGAUAACUACUGGAAACGGUGGCUAAUACAGCAUACUGUCGGAUUAAACCAUAUGGGAUUAGCUAGUAGGUUGGGUAAAGGCUCACCUAGGCGACGAUCUCUAGCUGGUCGGAGAGGGAGAGCAGCCACACUGGGACUGAGACACGGCCCAGACUCCUACGGGAGGCAGCAGUGGGGAAUAUUGCACAAUGGGCGCAAGCCUGAUGCAGCCAUGCCGCGUGUAUGAAGAAGGCCUUAGGGUGGUAAAGUACUUUCAGCGGGGAGGCGUUACCCGCAGAAGAAGCACCGGCUAACUCCGUGCCAGCAGCCGCGGUAAUAC
rnacentral:rRNA from 1 species